GACGAACGCUGGCGGCGUGCCUAAUACAUGCCAGUCGUGCGGACCUUGUUGAAAGCUUGCUUUUAAAAGGUUAGCGGCGGACGGGUGAGUAACACGUGAGCAACCUUCCUGUAAGACUGGGAUAACGCCGGGAAACCGGGGCUAAUACCAGAUCGUUUUUUCCUCCGCAUGGAGGAAAAAGGAAAGGCGGCUUCGGCUGCCACUUACAGAUGGGCCCGCGGCGCAUUAGCUAGUUGGCGGGGUAAUGGCCCACCAAGGCAACGAUGCGUAGCCGACCUGAGGGGGUGAUCGGCCAAAUUGGGAAUGGGACACCGCCCAAACUCCCACGGGGAGGAGCAAUAGGGGAACUUCCGAAAUGGGCGAAAGUCUUACGGAGCAACGCCGCGUGGGUGAAGAAGGCCUUCGGGUCGUAAAAGUCUGUUGACGGGGAAGAAAGAGUGCCAUUCGAACAGGGCGGCGCCUUGACGGUACCCGGACAGAAAGCCACGGCUAACUACGUG
rnacentral:rRNA from 1 species